rnacentral:pre_miRNA from 1 species
GCGGUUUUUCUCCUUCCCCCCGGAGUUCACUGUAUCGUACGUUGUAAACUCCGAGGGCAGGAAAAAGUGC